GACGAACGCUGGCGGCGUGCCUAAUACAUGCAAGUUGAGCGCUGAAGGUUGGUACUUGUACCGACUGGAUGAGCAGCGAACGGGUGAGUAACGCGUGGGGAAUCUGCCUUCGAGCGGGGGACAACAAUUGGAAACGAAUGCUAAUACCGCAUAACAACUUUAAACACAAGUUUUAAGUUUGAAAGAUGCAAUUGCAUCACUCAAAGAUGAUCCCGCGUUGUAUUAGCUAGUUGGUGAGGUAAAGGCUCACCAAGGCGAUGAUACAUAGCCGACCUGAGAGGGUGAUCGGCCACAUUGGGACUGAGACACGGCCCAAACUCCUACGGGAGGCAGCAGUAGGGAAUCUUCGGCAAUGGACGAAAGUCUGACCGAGCAACGCCGCGUGAGUGAAGAAGGUUUUCGGAUCGUAAAACUCUGUUGGUAGAGAAGAACGUUGGUGAGGGUGGAAAGCUCAUCAAGUGACGGUAACUACCCAGAAAGGGACGGCUAACUACGUGCCAGCCGCCGCGGUAA
rnacentral:rRNA from 1 species